rnacentral:rRNA from 1 species
UACGUAGGGUGCAAGCGUUAAUCGGAAUACUGGGCGUAAAGCGUGCGCAGGCGGUUAUGUAAGACAGGUGUGAAAUCUCCGGGCUUAACCCGGAAACGGUCAGCCGAUACUGCGGGGCUAGAGUGCAGAAGGGGCAACUGGAAUUCUCGGUGUAGCGGUGAAAUGCGUAGAUAUCGGGAGGAACACCUGUGGCGAAAGCGGCUCACUGGACCACAACUGACGCUGAGGC